GUAUCCAUGGUGUAGUGGUUAUCACCUCUGCCUGAGAUCGAGAAAGCUCCAGGUUCGUAACCUGGUGGGUUAUA